UUUGGUUUUAUUUUGUUGUCUCUAUAAUGCUGAAAUCUGUUGUUUUUAGACUUUAUUCCUUCUGUGUUCACAACUGUUUGCUUUCAUCGCCCUUUUAUGGAAUGCGAACUUUCGUGAAGUAUAACAUACAUACUCACAUAGUGAAUACACUCCUGUAAUCAGCACCCACAUUGACAGAACACUGCAGGAACCUCAAAACCCAUGCCUCCUUCACCCGGCCAUCCCUAGUUUGGCCAGCUUUGGAUCUCCGUGUAAGUGGGAUCAUAGGGUCUGUAUUCUUUAGUGCCUAAAGUAGGCAUUUUCAUUUGGAGUUCUGAUGUUUGAGGUAGGCACAGAAAGUACCUCUGGAGACUUGUGCACAGGUGUGAAGUGUGGGCCAGGAGCAGCACGUGGGACUCUAGUGAGUGAAGUGGCCUGGGUGUAGUACCAAGGCAAGGCAACCCUGUUUCUGCAACCCCUGUUUCCGGUGUUGAGGCCUUUUUGGCCUACAUUCACAUCUGACCAUUUUCUCCUUGUUCCCUUGGGCCAGAAGAUUUCAUUGGAUGAUGUUGUUUUUUAGUUGUAGAUGGACACAAUACAUUUUAUUUAUUUAUUUAUUUUUUAUAUGGUGCUGAGGAUUGAACCCAGUGCCUCACGCGUGCUAGGCAAGCACUCUUACCACUGAGCUACAACCCCGGCCCUUGGAGGGUUUCUUUAACCUCCUCUGCAUCUCCUGGGCCUUGGGGUAGAGAAAGCAGGGUGAGAUAUUUUUUCCCUUCACAAUCCACACCUCAGCUUGCCCUCUGCGUGUCCUUUCUGCCUUCCUCUACUGCCUUUUAUUUCCCCUUCCAUUUAAAAAUCUUUGCCUUCCUUCUUCCAGCUUUUCUCUUCCCUCUCGCACCUGUUGCUCUCUCUUGCUCCUUCUUUGCACUCUGGGGAGCAGCCAGUGACCUCUCUCCAUCCUCUCCCUUUGCCCCUGGCAGGAGAUGAGCUGGUGAUGAAGAUCAAGCAAGAGAAGCCAGAGUCCGACGACGUCUGUGUCCGGCACGAAG
rnacentral:lncRNA from 1 species